rnacentral:lncRNA from 1 species
UCGCUCACCGCAGUAGUCGUUGAUGAUGUCGUAGCAGCGGCAUUUGGGCGGGUACGACCUUGUGCAGAUGCAGGUCUUGCAGUUGGGGUCGCAACCUCCGAUCAACUGGUCGGUGCACCGGCACUGCGGCGGGAUCGACUUCGUGCACGAGCAACUGUCGCAGCACGCCCAUGGCUUCUCUCCCCCUACCUCCUCUCCGAUUCCUGCACACACACACACACGCGCGCGUACAUAUAGAGAUAUAGAUCAGCCGGUACACCACAAGAAACAUUGAGAGAUCUGCUUCAAGUACCUUG